AGAUUUUAACACGAAGUGAGUGGCGGACGGGUGAGUAACACGUGGGUAACCUGCCCAGAAGCAGGGGAUAACACCUGGAAACAGAUGCUAAUACCGUAUAACAGAGAAAACCGCCUGGUUUUCUUUUAAAAGAUGGCUCUGCUAUCACUUCUGGAUGGACCCGCGGCGCAUUAGCUAGUUGGUGAGGUAACGGCUCACCAAGGCGAUGAUGCGUAGCCGACCUGAGAGGGUAAUCGGCCACAUUGGGACUGAGACACGGCCCAGACUCCUACGGGAGGCAGCAGUAGGGAAUCUUCCACAAUGGACGCAAGUCUGAUGGAGCAACGCCGCGUGAGUGAAGAAGGGUUUCGGCUCGUAAAGCUCUGUUGUUAAAGAAGAACGUGGGUGAGAGUAACUGUUCACCCAGUGACGGUAUUUAACCCAGAAAGCCACGGCUAACUACGUGCCAGCAGCCGCGGUAAUACGUAGGUGGCAAGCGUUAUCCGGAUUUAUUGGGCGUAAAGCGAGCGCAGGCGGUCUUUUAAGUCUAAUGUGAAAGCCUUCGGCUCAACCGAAGAAGUGCAUUGGAAACUGGGAGACUUGAGUGCAGAAGAGGACAGUGGAACUCCAUGUGUAGCGGUGAAAUGCGUAGAUAUAUGGAAGAACACCAGUGGCGAAGGCGGCUGUCUGGUCUGUAACUGACGCUGAGGCUCGAAAGCAUGGGUAGCGAACAGGAUUAGAUACCCUGGUAGUCCAUGCCGUAAACGAUGAUUACUAAGUGUUGGAGGGUUUCCGCCCUUCAGUGCUGCAGCUAACGCAUUAAGUAAUCCGCCUGGGGGAGUACGACCGCAAGGUUGAAACUCAAAAGAAUUGACGGGGGCCCGCACAAGCGGUGGAGCAUGUGGUUUAAUUCGAAGCUACGCGAAGAACCUUACCAGGUCUUGACAUCUUCUGCCAACCUAAGAGAUUAGGCGUUCCCUUCGGGGACAGAAUGACAGGUGGUGCAUGGUUGUCGUCAGCUCGUGUCGUGAGAUGUUGGGUUAAGUCCCGCAACGAGCGCAACCCUUAUUACUAGUUGCCAGCAUUCAGUUGGGCACUCUAGUGAGACUGCCGGUGACAAACCGGAGGAAGGUGGGGACGACGUCAAAUCAUCAUGCCCCUUAUGACCUGGGCUACACACGUGCUACAAUGGAUGGUACAACGAGUUGCGAAACCGCGAGGUUUAGCUAAUCUCUUAAAACCAUUCUCAGUUCGGACUGUAGGCUGCAACUCGCCUACACGAAGUCGGAAUCGCUAGUAAUCGCGGAUCAGCAUGCCGCGGUGAAUACGUUCCCGGGCCUUGUACACACCGCCCGUCACACCA
rnacentral:rRNA from 1 species